ensembl:miRNA Mir3596a microRNA 3596a
GUUGCUUUGUGCAAGUCCCAAGGAAAGCUAGGAGGCUGUACAGUUAUCUCCCUUGUUGUAACUCUAAACUAUACAACCUACUACCUCAGCCUGGGAGCAUGCCGUCACAGUGGC